UACGAAGGGGGCUAGCGUUGCUCGGAAUCACUGGGCGUAAAGGGUGCGUAGGCGGGUCUUUUAAGUUAGAGGUGAAAGCCCGGAGCUCAACUCCGGAACUGCCUUUAAGACUGCAUCGCUAGAAUCAUGGAGAGGUGAGUGGAAUUCCGAGUGUAGAGGUGAAAUUCGUAGAUAUUCGCAAGAACACCGGUGGCGAAGGCGGCUCUCUGGGCCUUACCUGACGCUGAGGAGCGAAAGCGUGGGUAGCGAACAGG
rnacentral:rRNA from 1 species